GAUGAACGCUGGCGGCGUGCCUAAUACAUGCAAGUCGAGCGAACAGAUGAGGAGCUUGCUCCUCUGACGUUAGCGGCGGACGGGUGAGUAACACGUGGAUAACCUACCUAUAAGACUGGGAUAACUUCGGGAAACCGGAGCUAAUACCGGAUAAUAUAUUGAACCGCAUGGUUCAAUAGUGAAAGACGGUUUUGCUGUCACUUAUAGAUGGAUCCGCGCCGCAUUAGCUAGUUGGUAAGGUAACGGCUUACCAAGGCAACGAUGCGUAGCCGACCUGAGAGGGUGUUCGGCCACCCUGGAACUGAGACACGGUCCAGCCUCCUACGGGAGGCAGCAGUAGGGAAUCUUCCGCAAUGGGCGAAAGCCUGACGGAGCAACGCCGCGUGAGUGAUGAAGGUCUUCGGAUCGUAAAACUCUGUUAUUAGGGAAGAACAAAUGUGUAAGUAACUAUGCACGUCUUGACGGUACCUAAUCAGAAAGCCACGGCUAACUACGUG
rnacentral:rRNA from 1 species